GAAAUUUUCAAGUUUUAUUAAACCAGCUAGGGCGGAGUUUUAUUAACCAGCUGAGGGCGGACUAAAGACUUCCAGACCCGGGCGAAGAAGCAGCACUCCUACUUACCAGGGCAAGACUCAUGAACAGGGGGCGGGGGCUCCGGGGGCGGGGACGCGCCCCGAUCUCUUCCGCUCUUCUUCCCGGCAGCCUUAGCGCCCGGCCCGGAGCUGCUCAAGAUGGCUGCCGACAAUGAGCCCGAAUCCGAGGUAUUUGAGAUCACGGACUUCACCACUGCCUCGGAAUGGGAAAGGUUUAUUUCCAAAGUUGAAGAAGUCUUGAAUGACUGGAAACUGAUUGGAAACUCUUUGGGAAAGCCACUUGAAAAGGGUAUAUUUACUUCUGGCACAUGGGAAGAGAAAUCAGAUGAAAUUUCCUUUGCUGACUUCAAGUUCUCAGUCACUCAUCAUUAUCUUGUACAAGAGUCCACUGAUAAAGAAGGAAAGGAGUUAUUAGAGGAUGUUAUUCCACAGUCUAUGCAAGAUUUGCUGUGUAUGAAUAAUGACUUUCCUCCAAGAGCACAUUGCCUGGUAAGAUGGUAUGGGCUACGUGAGUUCGUGGUGAUUGCCCCUGCUGCACACAGUGACGCUGUUCUCAGCGAAUCUAAGUGCAACCUUCUUCUGAGUUCUGUUUCUAUUGCCUUGGGAAACACUGGCUGUCAGGUGCCACUCUUUGUGCAAAUUCACCACAAAUGGCGAAGAAUGUAUGUAGGAGAAUGUCAAGGUCCUGGUGUACGAACUGACUUCGAAAUGGUUCAUCUUAGAAAAGUGCCAAAUCAGUACACUCACUUAUCAGGUCUGCUGGAUAUCUUCAAAUCAAAGAUUGGAUGUCCUUUAACUCCAUUGCCUCCAGUUAGUAUUGCUAUUCGAUUUACCUAUGUACUUCAAGAUUGGCAGCAGUAUUUUUGGCCUCAGCAACCUCCAGACAUAGAUGCCCUUGUAGGAGGAGAAGUUGGAGGCUUGGAGUUUGGCAAGUUACCAUUUGGUGCCUGCGAAGAUCCUAUUAGUGAACUCCAUUUAGCUACUACAUGGCCUCAUCUGACCGAAGGGAUCAUUGUGGAUAAUGAUGUUUAUUCUGAUUUGGAUCCUAUUCAAGCUCCACAUUGGUCUGUUAGAGUUCGAAAAGCUGAGAAUCCUCAGUGUUUGCUAGGUGAUUUUGUCACUGAGUUUUUUAAGAUUUGCCGUCGAAAGGAGUCAACUGAUGAGAUUCUUGGACGAUCUGCAUUUGAGGAAGAAGGCAAAGAAACUGCUGAUAUAACUCAUGCUUUGUCAAAAUUGACAGAGCCGGCAUCAGUUCCAAUUCAUAAAUUAUCAGUUUCAAAUAUGGUACACACUGCAAAGAAGAAAAUCCGAAAACACAGAGGUGUAGAGGAGUCACCGCUAAAUAAUGAUGUUCUCAAUACUAUUCUCCUGUUCUUAUUCCCUGAUGCUGUUUCUGAGAAAUCAUUAGAUGGAACUGCUUCAACAGAUAAUAAUAAUCCUCCAUCAGAGAGUGAAGACUAUAAUCUCUACAAUCAGUUCAAGUCUGCACCAUCUGACAGUUUAACAUACAAAUUGGCUUUGUGUCUCUGUAUGAUCAAUUUUUACCAUGGAGGGUUAAAAGGAGUGGCACACCUCUGGCAGGAAUUUGUUCUUGAAAUGCGUUUCCGAUGGGAAAACAACUUUCUGAUUCCAGGAUUAGCAAGUGGACCCCCAGAUCUGAGGUGUUGUUUACUGCAUCAGAAACUACAGAUGUUAAAUUGUUGUAUUGAAAGAAAGAAGGCACGUGAUGAGGGGAAAAAGACAAGUGCUUCAGAUGUCACUAAUAUAUAUCCAGGGGAUGCUGGAAAAGCAGGAGACCAGUUGGUGCCAGAUAAUCUAAAAGAAACAGAUAAGGAAAAGGGAGAGGUAGGAAAAUCUUGGGAUUCCUGGAGUGACAGCGAAGAAGAAUUUUUUGAAUGCCUAAGUGAUACUGAAGAACUUAAAGGAAAUGGACAAGAGAGUGGCAAGAAAGGAGGACCUAAGGAGAUGGCAAGUUUAAGGCCAGAAGGACGGCUCUAUCAGCAUGGGAAACUUACACUGCUGCAUAAUGGAGAACCUCUCUACAUUCCAGUAACCCAGGAACCAGCACCUAUGACAGAAGAUCUGCUAGAAGAGCAGUCUGAAGUUUUAGCUAAAUUAGGUACAUCGGCAGAAGGGGCUCACCUCCGAGCACGCAUGCAGAGUGCCUGUCUGCUCUCAGAUAUGGAGUCUUUUAAGGCAGCUAAUCCAGGUUGCUCCCUGGAAGAUUUUGUGAGGUGGUAUUCACCCCGGGAUUAUAUUGAAGAGGAGGUGAUUGAUGAAAAGGGCAACGUGGUGCUGAAAGGAGAACUGAGUGCCCGGAUGAAGAUUCCAAGCAAUAUGUGGGUAGAAGCCUGGGAAACAGCUAAGCCAAUUCCUGCUAGAAGGCAAAGGAGACUCUUCGAUGAUACACGGGAAGCAGAAAAGGUGCUGCACUAUCUGGCAAUCCAGAAACCUGCAGACCUUGCUCGGCACCUGUUACCUUGUGUGAUUCAUGCAGCUGUACUCAAGGUAAAAGAAGAAGAAAGUCUGGAAAACAUUUCUUCAGUUAAGAAGAUCAUAAAGCAGAUAAUAUCCCAUUCCAGUAAAGUUUUGCACUUCCCCAAUCCAGAAGACAAGAAAUUGGAAGAAAUCAUUCACCAGAUUACUAAUGUGGAAGCUCUCAUUGCCAGAGCUCGGUCAUUAAAAGCCAAGUUUGGAACUGAGAAAUGUGAACAGGAGGAGGAAAAGGAAGAUCUUGAAAGGUUUGUGAGUUGCCUGCUGGAGCAGCCUGAAGUGUUAGUCACCGGUGCAGGAAGAGGACAUGCUGGCAGGAUCAUUCACAAGCUGUUUGUGAAUGCCCAGAGGGCUGCAGCCAUGACUCCACCAGAGGAGGAAUUGAAGAGAAUGGGCUCCCCAGAGGAAAGAAGGCAGAACUCCGUGUCAGACUUCCCACCCCCUGCUGGCCGAGAAUUCAUUUUGCGCACCACUGUGCCGCGCCCUGCUCCCUACUCCAAAGCUCUGCCUCAGCGGAUGUACAGUGUUCUCACCAAAGAGGACUUUAGACUUGCAGCUCCCCAGGUGUGUCCUGGUAGACAGCUGCUCCCAGGAGCUGGCAUAGAAGCAAACCUGCAGGAAAAGCCGACCCACUUCAGGCAUGUGGAAGCUGCUGGCAGGAGCCCAGCAAGGAUCCAGCUGGGUUGUAAUGGAAACAAUGCAACCAAAAAUCCUUGAGUGAGCCGGGAUAGAUGUGGCCUCAUCACUGAAGAUUUCAUCUGAGACCUCUGCAAAUACCCAAAUUGUAUAUGCUCUUAGAGCAGAUCAUUUUCUCACAGGAUGUCUAACCAAAGGAAAGGAAAUCAGCAUAUCAAAGAGAUAUCUGCACUCCCAUGUUGAUUGCAGCACUGUUCACAACAGCCAAGAUGUGGAAUCAACCAAAGUGUCCACUGGCAGAUGAAUGGAUUAAAAAAAAUGUGGUCCAUGGCCCGGCAUGGUGGUUCAUACCUGUAAUCCCAGCACUUUCGGAAGCCAAGGUGGGUGGAUCACUUGAGGUCAAGAGUUCGAGACCAUGUUGGCCAACAUACUGAAACCUCACCUCUACUAAAAAUACAAAAAUUAGCUCAGCGUGUUGGCACAUGCCUGUAAUCCCAGCUACUCAGGAGGCUGAGGUAUGAGAAUCCUUUGAACCCGGGGGACAGAGGUUGCAGUGAGCCGAGAUUGCACCACAGCACUCCACACCUGGGUGACAGAGGCAGACUCUGUCUCAAAAAAAAAAAAACACACACACACACACACACACACACACACACAAAAUAUAUAUAUAUAUAUGGUGCACAUACACAAUGGAAUACUAUUCAGUGAUUUAAAAAAAAGAAUGAAAUCCUGUGAUUUGCGACAACAUAGAUGAACAGAGAGGAUAUAAUGUUAAGUGAAUAAGCCAGGCACAGAAGAAUGAAUACUGCAUGUUCUCACUCAUAUCAGGUAUCUGAAGAAGUUGGUAUCGUAGAAGUAGAGAGUAGAAUAGUAGUUACCAGAGGCUGGGGAGGUGGUGGGGGGUAGCAGGAAAUGGGAAGAAGUUGGUUAAUGGGUACAAAGUUACAGUUAAAUAUGAGAAAUAAGUUCUGGUGUUUUAUUGCACAGUAGGGUGACUAUAGUUAACAAUACUGUAUUGUUUAUUUCAAAAUAGCUAGAAGAGAAUAUUUUGAAUAUUCUUACCACAAAGAAAUGACAAGUGUUUUAUUGGGGGAACCCGCCCCCAGUAUUUCAACAUAGGUUCUUUCUAUUUUCCAUAAGUGUCAGCCGGCUGAGAAAUAAAGAGAAAGAGUACAAAGAGAGGAAUUCUACAGCUGGGCCGCCAGGGAUGACAUCACGUAUCAGUAGGACCGUGAUGCCCACCUGAGUCUCAGACCAGCAAGUUUUUAUUAAGGGUUUCAAAAGGAGAGGGGGUGUAAGAACAGGGAGUAGGUACAAAGAUCACAUGCUUCCAAGGGCAAAAAGCAGAACUACUAAUAAGGGUCUAACAAAGAUCACAAGACAGAGGGCAAAAGCAGAACUACCGAUAAGGGUCUAUGUUCAGCGGUGCACGUAUUGUCUUGAUAAACAUCUUAAAUAACUGAAAACAGGGUUCAAGAGCAGAGAACCGGUCUGACCACAGAUUUACCAGGGUGGAGUUUUUCCCCACCCUAGUAAGCCUGAGGGUACUGCAGGAGACCAGGGAGUAUCUCACUCCUUAUCUCAACUGCGUAAGACAGACAUUCCCAGAGUGGCCGUUUAUAGACCUCCCCCCAGGAAUGCAUUCCUUUCCCAGGGUAUUAAAAUUAAUAUUCCUUGCCAGGAAAAGAAUUUAGUGAUAUCUCUCCUACUUCCACAUCCGUUUAUAGGCUCUCCGCAAGAAGAAAAAUAUGGCUCUUUUUGCCCGACCCCACAGGCAGUCAGACCUUAUGGUCGUCUUCCCUUGUUCCCUAAAAAUUGCUGUUAUUCUGUUCUUUUUCAAGGUGCACUGAUUUCAUAUUGUUCAAACACAUGUUUUACAAUCAAUUUGUACAGUUAACACAAUUAUCACAGCGGUCCUGAGGUGACGUACAUCCUCAGCUUACGAAGAUAACAGUAUUAAGAGAUUAAGUAAAGACAGGCAUAAGAAAUUAUAAAAGUAUUAUUUGGGAAAUGAUAAAUGUCCAUGAAAUCUUCACAAUUUAUGUUCCUCUGCCGCGGCUCCAGCCGUUCCCUCCAUUCAGGGUCCCUGACUUCCUGCAACAGUGUUUGAGGUGAUGGAUAUGCUAAUUACCCUGAUUUCAUUAUUACACAAUCUAUACUUGUAUGAAAACACUGCACCCCAUAAAUAUGUACAAUUCUUAUGGUCAAUUAAAAGCAAAAGUUAAGGCUGCACAUGGUGGCUCACACCUAUAAUCCCAGCCCUUUGGGAGGCUGAGGUAGGAGAAUCACUUGAGCCCAGGAGUUCAAGACCAGCCUGGGCAACAUAGCGAGACCCCAUCUCUAUAAAAAUAAAAUAGUAAAAAUGGCUGGGUACAGUGGCUCACGUCUGUAACCCUAGCACUUUGGGAGGCCGAAGCAUGUAGAUUUCCUGAGCCCAGGAGUUUGAGUCCAGUCUAGGCAACAUGGCAAAACCCUGUCUCUACAAAAAAUACAAAAUUAGCUGGAUGUGGUGAUGCAUGCUUAUAGUCGUCCCAGCUACUUGGGAGGCUGAGCCUGGGAGGUUGAGGCUCAGUGAGAUGUGAUCAUGCCACUGCACUCCAGCUGGGGCGACAGAGUGAAACCCGUCUCAAAAAAAAAAAAAGGAAAAAUUAGCCAGGCUUGGUGGCAUGUGCCUGCAGUCCCAGCUACUUGAGAGGCUGAGGCUGCAGUGAGCUGAGAUUGCACUGCACUCCAGCCUGGCUGACAGAGGUAGACCCUGUCCCAAAAAACAGAAGUUAAAAAAAAAAAAAAAAAAAAAAAAAAGAGCAUGGCACUGACUUAAAGUAGUCCAAUAGAACAGAUAGAGAGUUCAGAAGCAGACUGUCCAUAUAAGGAAACUUGAGUUUUGAUGGAGACAGCAAGGCAGAUCAGUGGGAAAAGAUGGAAUAGUCAAUAAACCUCUCAUACAAGGAUGAGAGGUUAUCCUUGUAUCCCAUGAGGAAAAAUAAAAUUGGAUCCCUACAUCACUCCCUACUCAAAAAAUCAAUUUCUGGUAGACUAAAUACUGUUCUGUAAAACACAAAUACAUAAAACAUUUAGAAUACUAUGUGGGAAAGUAGCUUUAAAAUUCCAAAGCAGGGAGGUCUUCUUAAAUAAACACAAAAGAAUAUGAACCAUAAAGGAAAUACAAAGAAUAUGAACCACAAAGGAAAAGAUGGAUAUACUUGACUCCAUUAAUAUUAAGGACUUCUGUUUAACAAAGAAAGAACAGAAUGAGGCCGGCUGUCGUGGCUCACGCCUGUAAUCCCAGCACUUUGGGAGGCCAAGGUGGGCGGAUCACAAGGUCAGGAGAUCGAGACCAUCCUGGCUAACACAGUGAAACCCUGACCCUACUAAAAAUACAAAAAACUAGCUGGGCGUGGUGGUGGGCACCUAUAGUCCCAGCUACUCGGGAGGCUGAGGCAGGAGAAUGGCGUGAACCCGGGAGGCGGAGCUUGCAGUGAGCCGAGAUCGUGCCGCUGCACUCCAACCUGGGCAACAGAGCAAGACUCCAUAUCAAAAAAGAAAAAGAAAAUACAGAAUGAGAAAAGACAAGCUAGGACUAGGAAAAUACAGAAUGAGAAAAGACAAGCUACAGACUAGGAAAAUAAAUUUGUACCUAGACAACCAAUAUGGACUAUUAUGCAGAACAGACUUUACAAUCCCUCCCUUGAAUCAGUAAGAAAAGACUAAAAACUUAAUAGCAAAAUACACACACACACAAAGAUAGGAAGAGGUCUCUCAUAGAAGAGGAAAGAGGAAUGAGCAAAACACACAGGAUAAGUUGUUCAACCUCAUUAGUAUUUUGAAAAAUGCAAAUCAAAAUCAUGAGACACCAUUUCACACAUACCAGAUGGGCACACAUUUUGAAGUUAGACAAUAUUCAAAUGUUGACAAGGAUUCUGAGCAACAGGAACUCAUAUUCAUUGUUGGCAAGACUGCAAAUUGGUGCAACUUUGGAAAAUAAUUUUGCAUUACCUAAUAAGGUUUGAACACAUACAUACCCUACAAUGCAGUAGCUCUGCUCCUGGGAUGUACUUUAGGGCAGUGGUCCCUAGACCAGCAGCAUCAGUAUCACGGGAACUUGUUAGAAAUGCAAAUUCUCCAGCCACUAGACCUACUGAGGCAGAAACUCUAGGGCUGGGGCCCAGCAACCUGGGUUUCAGUAAGCCCUUCAGGUGACUCUGAUGCACAUCCAAGUGUGAGAAGUGUUUGCACACGGCACCAGGAGAGAUGAACAGCAAUGUUCACAGCAGCACUUUAGAGAAACCACAAACUGGAAACUCUGAUGUCCUUCAACAGUGGAAAGGAUAAUUAUUUUAUAUCAGAAUAGUUAAAAGAAAUGAACUACUACUUUACACUUAUUGGCAUGGUGAGUAUCACAAAGGUAAAACCGAGUGGCAGAAGCAUGUCACAGGGACAUAUAUGCAGUAUAAUUUCAUUAUCUAAAGGUCAAAAAUGAGUAACUCAACAAUAACCUGUUUAGGAAUAUGCACAUAUGUGAUACUCCCAUAAAGAAAAGCAAAGGGCUGCUUUCCACACAAUUCAGGAGAGUGGGUCUGUUUAUGGGGAAGGAAAGGGAACGUACUUGGGCAGCAGGGGACCAGGUUUAAAGGCAGAGGGAAGACUCUAUUUUUAAGCUAGGUGGGAGGUACACUGCUGUUCAUUUUACUAUUUUAAAAAAAUAGUUUAUAUUUAGGCCGGGCACAGUGGCUCACCCUGUAAUCCUAGCACUUUGGGAGGCCAAGGCAGGUGGAUCAUUUGAGGUCAUGAGUUUGAGACCAGCCUGGCCAACAUGGUGAAACCUUGUCUCUACUAAAAAUACAAAAAUUAGCCAGGCAUGGUGGUGCGCACCUGUAAUCCCAGCUACUCAGGAGGCUGAGGCAGGAGAAUCACUUGAGCCUGGGAGGCAGAGGUUGUAGUGAGCUGACAUCACACCACUGCACUCCAGCCUGGGUGAGAGUGAGACUCUGUCUCAAAAAUAAAUAAAUGAAAUAAAAAUAGUAUAUAUUUCUAACCUAAUGCGGGACUGAAAGUUUCCAUCACAGAAGAUGCAGGAUUGCAUUAUCAAGUGGUCGAUGCAAAGGCUGCAGCCAGCCCGCCGAGCCUGAGGCCUGAGUCUGAGGGUCCAGCUGGGAGCCCCCAGCUGGUCUGGCUUAUGCAGACUGGCGGCAGCUUGCAUAGUGAUGGGGACAAUUUUGGAUCUUACGGCCGGGUUUGAAGGGAUGAGUUAGGGAGGAUGAGGGAAUGCGGAGUCCCACUUCUGCCUCUCCACCCCGGGCCUCAGCGGGGCCUUCUCUUUUGCCACCUGAACUCGCCAGCCCCUCCGUGUCUCCUCUUCUUCCAGUAGGAUAAGAGCUUUAGCCAGGGCCUGAGUGGAGGACGGAAGCCAAUUUCCAAUUUAUGAGAACCUUUAUAACAGUGCAGUUUUAUUGUGUAUGUCUUACGUAUAUCUUUAUGUGUGUGGGUACACACACACAACAAAGAAAGGAUAUUUAUGGUUGUGAGUGGUAAUUUUUAAAAACUAUUUCAUUUACAUGAGCAUUUAGGAAAGUCAUCUAUCUUUAUAAAAAAAUCCUUUUAACAAAUAUUUCCCUAAAAUAAUGACAGAUGGUCAGUAAGUCAUUCAGUCACAUGACAGAGAUUCAGCCUCUCAGUGAUCAAACCCAGCACUGGUGGCUGUGUGGAAGGGGGUUUAGGGAAGGCCAGGCUGGGUGUGGCCAUGGGAAGAUGCCACCUGGGGCUGCUGCUCUCCGGGUACAUGGAUGCUACUGUUUCUGGGAGUCACAGGUAGGCGAGUGCUGCAGAAACACGAUCGUGUUCAUCACUCGUUUCUCACAGCGCCUGUUGGCCUGCAGUAGUGGAAAGGAUAAAUUUCCUCUAUGCAGCCGCAGCUGCAUAGAGUACGGGAAAGAGCUGCAAGUCUUCUGGAGCUCAGGAAGGGUGCCCUCCUUUUGGGAUUUACCCAUCCUUCAAGAUUGACUCCACAGGAGGUAUUUAUGCAAGGACUGGGGCUGACCCCACUGAGAAGGAUUUAAUGCAUCCUCUCAACAAAAGACCUUCCCCAAGCAGCCUUUUUCAACGACAGGAGGCUGGUCAGAGAUCCUGCCAUCUGGGCUGUUAGCAGAUCUCAGUGUCUGAAACAAGCAGGCUUCUCAGGGAAACUUCAACCAGGCAUUGUUUUUCACAGAAGGCUCACGUUUGACAGGAAGAGUAUGUAAGUUCCAGGAGCACAGGGUUGGGUUCCAGGGUCAGGACAAGAAGCAGGGCACCCAGAAGAGCAAAAGGGACCGAACGCUGCAGCCCCGUUAUGUUCCCGACCCUCAGAGGGAUAGACCCUUCCCUGCUGCGGCUUUUAGCUCCCACCAGGUGGGAAUGUGCUGGGCAGGGAACAAAGACUGUCUGUUCAAAUUGUCCCCAAACCCAGCUCUGAGCACAUUUCCUGAUUUGGAGGGAGGACGGGAGGAGGUGCUUCCACUGCAGGACUUGAUCUGGAAGGCUGCUUUGGACCUCCUGACUUAUCCGGCCCAGGCGGCUUUGAAAACGCCAAGUUCUCACCAGGAAUUACCAGCUGACUCAGUCAUAGGGUUCUGGACAGCUUAGGAUCCUCCGACCCUCGAUUUCUUGAUUUCAGCAGGAAGAUGGUUCUUUUGUUACCCUUCUCUAAAAGAAUGGAAAAUGUAAUACUGCGUUUCCAUGGAGGCCUCUAAAGAAAGAUCAUUCUCCUUUAGAAGAGCAUCCAAGAAAUUAUACUCAAAACAAAUCUUCUUUUGGCAGGACACCAUUUAAUCAGCUGAAAGAUAUUUAUACCUGUGCUUAUAAUUCUAUGGCUUGUCGUGGGAAGGGAGAAGAGGAAGUUAGGAAUCAAAUGCUCCCUCAUUUUUCGGAGGAAUGAUUGGAAGACUCUGGGAAAACAUCCUAAAUUGUUAGGUUUGAUAUUCAGCCAUCUUAAGUUCACUAGAAACAGUAGUUUUCUUGUUAAUAAAAAUAACCAUAAAAAUAGAAUAACAACAGGUAAGGGCAGAGAUCAUGUCAAUUAACUGUGAGGAUGUAUUUGGUCCCUCUGUUAAUCAGACUGAUAAAACAGUCCAUAGAGCAGUUGCCUUAGUAGGAA